rnacentral:rRNA from 1 species
AACGAACGCUGGCGGCAGGCUUAACACAUGCAAGUCGAACGGUUGUAGCAAUACAGCAGUGGCGCACGGGUGAGUAACACGUGGGAAUAUCCCUUUCAGUACGGAAUAACGUCGGGAAACUGACGCUAAUACCGUAUACACCUCCGGGUGAAAGAUUUAUCGCUGAAAGAUUAGCCCGCGUCAGAUUAGCUAGUUGGUGGGGUAACGGCCUACCAAGGCUCCGAUCUGUAGCUGGUCUUAGAGGACGAUCAGCCACACUGGAACUGAGACACGGUCCAGACUCCUACGGGAGGCAGCAGUGGGGAAUAUUGGACAAUGGGGGAAACCCUGAUCCAGCCAUGCCGCGUGAGUGAUGAAGGCCUUCGGGUUGUAAAGCUCUUUUGUCAGGGAAGAUGAUGACUGUACCUGAAGAAUAAGCCCCGGCUAACUUCGUGCCAGCCGCCGCAGUAACAC